rnacentral:rRNA from 1 species
AGCAGCCGCGGUAAUUCCAGCUCCAAUAGCGUAUAUUAAAGUUGUUGCAGUUAAAAAGCUCGUAGUUGAAUUUCGGGGUUCAUACGUUGGUCGGGCUAUUUGGUCUGUACUUAUGUAAUGGAUUCCUACCUUCUGAAUAACCGGCAUGCCAUUAAUUUGGUGCGCCGGGGAAGCAGGACUGUUACCUUGAAAAAAUUAGAGUGCUUAAAGCAGGCUAUCGCCUGAAUACAUUAGCAUGGAAUAAUGAAAUAGGACGGCAUGGUUCUAUUUUGUUGGUUUCUAGGAUCACCGUAAUGAUUAAUAGGGAUAGUUGGGGGCAUUAGUAUUCAAUUGUCAGAGGUGAAAUUCUUGGAUUUAUUGAAGACUAACUUCUGCGAAAGCAUUUGCCAAGGAUGUUUUCAUUAAUCAAGAACGAAAGUUAGGGGAUCGAAGACGAUCAGAUACCGUCGUAGUCUUAACCAUAAACUAUGCCGACUAGGGAUCGGACGAUGUUAAUUUUUUAAUGACUCGUUCGGCGCCUUACG